GUGGGGGUAGCAAAGUCUGGUCAAAUGCGCUGGACUCAAGAUCCAGUCCUUCAGUAGGUUCAGGGGUUCGAAUCCCCUCCCCCACA
rnacentral:tRNA from 1 species